rnacentral:rRNA from 1 species
CAUUAUGCUCAGCCGUAAACUUUGAUAGAUCAUUACAUCCGCUAUCCGCCCGGGUACUACGAGCAUCAGCUUAAAACCCAAAGGACUUGGCGGUGCUUAACAUCCACCUAGAGGAGCCUGUCCUAGAACCGAUAAUCCCCGUUAAACCUCACCCUCCCUUGCUCCUUCCCGCCUAUAUACCGCCGUCGUCAGUUUGCCCUUUGAAGGUCCCGUAGCAAGCACAAUUGGUACCGCCCAGAACGUCAGGUCGAGGUGUAGCUUAUGAGAGGGGAUGAGAUGGGCUACAUUUCCUGAAACAGGAUAUACGGAUAGUGAUUCUGAAAUGAACACUAGAAGGAGGAUUUAGUAGUAAGUAGAAAACAGAGAGUUCUGCUGAACCUGGCUCUUAAGCGUGCACACACCGCCCGUCACUCUCCCCGAGCAUAAUUAUGAACCCAUAAUUAAUACCCUAUUGAUUGCGUCAGGGGAGGCAAGUCGUAA